rnacentral:rRNA from 1 species
UGGGGAAUUUUGCACAAUGGGGGAAACCCUGAUGCAGCGACGCCGCGUGAUUUAGAAGGCCUUCGGGUUGUAAAAAUCUUUUCUAUGGGAAGAAAAUGACAGUACCAUAGGAAUAAGGACCGGCUAAUUACGUGCCAGCAGCCGCGGUAAUACGUAAGGUCCGAGCGUUGUCCGGAAUCAUUGGGCGUAAAGGGUACGUAGGCGGGUAAGCAAGUUAGAAGUGAAAUCCUAUAGCUCAACUAUAGUAAGCUUUUAAAACUGCUCAUCUUGAGGUAUGGAAGGGAAAGUGGAAUUCCUAGUGUAGCGGUGAAAUGCGCAGAUAUUAGGAGGAAUACCGGUGGCGAAGGCGACUUUCUGGCCAUAACCUGACGCUGAGGUACUAAAGCGUGGGUAGCAAACAGG